GCACGAAGUUAGCCGGUGCUUCCUCUGAUGGUACCGUCAUAUUCUAUGUCUAUUAAACACAAACUUUUCUUCCCAUCUGACAGGAGUUUACAAUCCGAAGACCUUCAUCCUCCACGCGGCGUCGCUGCGUCAGGCUUUCGCCCAUUGCGCAAUAUUCCCCACUGCUGCCUCCCGUAGGAGUCAGGCCCGUGUCUCAGUGCCUAUGUGACCGUACACCCUCUCAGGCCGGUUAACCGUCAUAGCCUUGGUGAGCUUCUACCUCACCAACAAGCUGAUAGUCCGCAAGCUCAUCCUAUAGCGGCGACAUAAAAGACGCCUUUCUCCCCAAAGGGACUUAUGCAGUAUUAACCUCAAUUUCUCGAGGGUAUUCCUCACUACAGGGCAGAUUCUUACGUGUUACUCACCCGUCCGCCGCUGUACUCAUUCCCGAAGGAACUUUCUCGCUCGACUUGCAUGUGUUAGGCACGCCGCCAGCGUUCAUU
rnacentral:rRNA from 1 species